UACGUAGGGUGCGAGCGUUAAUCGGAAUUACUGGGCGUAAAGCGUGCGCAGGCGGUUUUGUAAGCCAGAUGUGAAAUCCCCGGGCUUAACCUGGGAAUGGCAUUUGGGACUGCAAGGCUUGAGUGCGGCAGAGGAGACUGGAAUUCCUGGUGUAGCAGUGAAAUGCGUAGAUAUCAGGAGGAAUACCGAUGGCGAAGGCAGGUCUCUGGGCUGACACUGACGCUCAUGCACGAAAGCGUGGGGAGCAAACAAG
rnacentral:rRNA from 1 species